UGGGGAAUAUUGCACAAUGGUGGGAACUCUGAUGCAGCAACGCCUCGUGCGGUAUGACGGCCUUCGGGUUGUAAACCGCUUUCAGCCAUGACGAAGCUUUUGUGACGGUAGUGGUAGAAGAAGCACCGCCUAACUACGUGCUAGCAGCCGCGGUGAUACGUAGGGUGCGAGCGUUGUCCGGAAUUAUUGGGCGUAAAGGGCUUGUAGGCGGUUUGUCGCGUCGAUAGUGUAAACACGCAGCUUAACUGUGUGCCUGCUGUCGAUACGGGCUGACUGGAGGAGGGUAGGGGAGAAUGGAAUUCCCGGUGGAGCGGUGGAAUGCGCAGAUAUCGGGAGGAACACCAGUGGCGAAGGCGGUUCUCUGGACCUUUCCUGACGCUGAGAAGCGAAAGCGUGGGUAGCAAACAGG
rnacentral:rRNA from 1 species